UUGCUUACAUUUAUAAUUAUUAAGCUAAAAAUAUAUGGGCCUCGUCUACUAUUUUCAUUAAAAACCCUACCCCCAAUCUUUCCUCUUAAAACGUGCCUUUAAUCUUCCGCUUUCCUCUGUUCCUCAUACCCAAAUAAUUUAUGCCGUCAUCUCAUAUUCACGAAAUUGAUCGGAGUGCAAAUCACAUUCUCGAAGUUCAAAGUCGCACCCGAUUAGCGAUAAACAAAUCUCAGUGUAACGCCAAAAAUUGAAAGGGGAAGCAUCCAUGUUGGUCUUAGAUUGUUCUAGAACUCUAAACAUGACAGAUACUACUGAUACUUCUCAGACUUUUGAUCGAGGUUAUUAAGGUGCGUUAAGUAUUUACUUUUUAUGAUUUUCAUUCUAUUAUGUUUACUGGAUUGUAUUUCCUGCCUUUAAAAUGAUUGCCCUUUCGUUUAUUAUGAUGUACUGAAGUUUGUUGUGCUUGGGAAGUGGUAGCUAGGUUUAUUUAUGCAUUUAACAGUUCUCUGUUUGUGUUCAAGAUACAUGGCUAUUGUGGAGUGAUGAAAUUGAAUCAUUUUGGGGAUAAAGCUUUAGUAUCUGCACCUUUUUUCUUUUAAUGUGAUUGUGUAUUCACAGCUUUUGUUUCAUUUCAGUGGCUGAUUGUUUCUUCUAUUGGAUUUUGUCUAUUCUUACAUCUUUAAUAUGAUUGUUUUACUAUCAUGUUGUUAUAGUUAAUGCUUGUUACGCUCCUUCUUAGUCCAUGUAAAUUAUUUAAUUAGUUGAUUAGGUUUAUAGGUGCUAAUAGAGGUAGGAUGAGUGUAGAAAGGACCUACAGGUCCAAAUUACAUAAAUCUUGCUUGGAUAAGUCAGAAACUGAACUAUGCCUUACAGGAAAUAUCACGCUUUUGCAUUUAGUUGGGUAAGAUUACAUUUAUGUUCGAUAGAACAAUCAUUUAGUAUGAUAGAAUAACUUAUUGAUACCUAUAAUGCCAAAACCUUAGUAGACAAACAAGCAUGAUUAUGUUUCCUUGACCCAUACAUACUCAAGAUCAGUUUACCAGAGGAAGAAAAACUUGGAACUGUAGCACCAGAUAACUAACCUCAUCGACUUAUAAUGUUGGAUUCCUCAUAGGAGAUGACAUUCUGCUUUUCAGUAAGAAUAUGGAUAUUACUCUGUAUUUCUAGGAGAAAAAUGACCUCUAUAGCAUGAUCAUUAACCAAAUAUGGCCUAUGAAUUCUAGUUGGUUGUGGUUCUCAUUUGCAGGUCACUCAAGAGGAUCAUCUCCUUAAAUUGAGAUAAGUAAAUAUCUAGUUUGUAUUACCUAUCAAUACCUCAAGACGCUUGCUUGAUUGAUUAGCCCUAAAAUUCAAUACUAACAAGAUUACCGUGCAGGUGCUGAAAAUGAGUUGCGUUAGGAGCAUACUCAAGGUCUGCCAGCUCGUCAAAGGUUAUCCUCUUCACAAUAUCAUUGAGAAAUUCUUGUGGUUUACUUGCAAAAAGGGUAUCAGUCUAUCCAAAUGAUUGUAACAAACAUCAUUUAAGCCUAUAACUGAAAUGUCAUGCUUAGUUAGAAGGGAUUAAGAAGAGGAAAAGGACAGAGAACUUCUCAUUCUAUAGGUUAACUAAACAGAUGUAGAUGUGUUCAAGCACCUUUUGCAUUUUCUUACUUUAUGGUACAUAUUUACAUUGUGGCUCGCAUUCGAAGACUUGAAGUUUCUUAUUGUUUUAUUUUUCUUUGUGAUAAGCAAGUCUAUUCUUCAUUUUUGUUUGUAUUAUGGAAGUUUUUUAAGCUGCACGGAUUCUAACUUUGCAUGUGAUAUCAUAUGCCAUAUAAUUCUAUAGAAGUGGCUUGCUAACUGUUUUUUGUUACCUUAUAUUUUUAACUUCUAAUUGUUGCUUUUAUUGUUUGGUUUUAUGUCAGGUUGAUAUGCAAAAAUUGGAGUCAAAAAGAGAAUACUCUUAUGCAAAGCGUGUCGCCACAGAGAUUUCAGUUGCCUCUUUACAUGAAGGCUCGUCGAGUGAACUGUUGUGAAUUAAUAUUUUUGUAAUCAGCAUUGGAGUUUAUUUAUAUAGCACAGCUUGUUCUGAAGAUGUACAGGGGAAAAACUUUAUAUUUUUGAGAACCACUAUUGAAUGGUGUUGUAAGAUUUUCAAAAAUAAUGUGUACGUGCCUCUUUUGUUUUAAUUCAAAGUUCUUUUGUUGCGUAUGACAUUGUAGGAUCAAAAUUACAUGGAUGAUUGUGUUAUUAUUAGACAAGAAUUAUUAACUUUCUUCAAGU
rnacentral:lncRNA from 1 species